rnacentral:lncRNA from 1 species
CCCUCCCUAUGGAGCCAACACCAUUGAGAGUAUUCUAGAACCCAACAGCCACCCAGACUGGUAUGAACGAACAAUGCUAGGACAUCUGAUGAAGGUCCUGAUCCCAGGCGCCAAGGACUGAAUUCUGCAUCAGGCUUCCUGCUCAGUGGGGAGCCUGCUUUUCCCUUUGCCUGCUCUCCUCUCUCC